rnacentral:rRNA from 1 species
GACAGAGGGUGCAAACGUUGCUCGGAAUUACUGGGCGUAAAGAGUGUGUAGGCGGUGCUCUAAGUCUGUUGUGAAAUCUCCCGGCUUAACUGGGAGGGUGCGGCGGAGACUGGAGUGCUAGAGUGUGGGAGAGGUAAGCGGAAUUCCUGGUGUAGCGGUGAAAUGCGUAGAUAUCAGGAGGAACACCUGUGGUGUAGACAGCUUACUGGACCACGCUGACGCUGAGACACGAAAGCGUGGGUAGCAAACAGG